ensembl:lncRNA
GGGAGAAACCUGCCGCCGCUCGCCGCCUCUUUGUCUGCUCCGGGACUUGGAACAAAAGGGGGAACUUGAUGAACUCUCCUCCUCCCCUCUUCCCCGGACGCCCGGGUAUCUCCCUCUCACAACUUUGCCGACGCGACUUUCUCCGCUGUCAGGCCACCCGAAAGUGUCCGAGCGCCUCGCGGGACUGCGUCGAGGGAAACAGUGUCCCUUGAAAGUGCGACGGAGGGGAGAAGGAGGUGUGAUUAAUAUGAGCAUCUGGGAGCGUGGAGCAGGGCCUGCAGUACUUCCUACCACUGGCCUUCCGUGUUCUGGAUCAUUCUUACUGGAUCUAUCAGCAAACAGCAUGCAAGUGCCAGCGUCCAAUCAUUCCUGCAUGGAAUGCCAUCAGACUUCCUCAGUUGGAGUUACUUAAAAGUUAAAUUGUUGGGAUUUUUGAUAAUGCCUUUCCCAUGUGGAUUACUACAAUUUGAUGGCUCGGAACUCUCCACUCAGAAGGUGACCUGACCGCAGAAGUGCUAACUCCUGUUUAUUCAGGAAAGACUUCCGACUGGGGAAGACUUCCAGGUGUGAAUCAUGAGAGAGCGGAGAGGCCUGUGAUUUACGUUUUGGAGGGCAUGCCUGAGUGUGAUUAAGGGAUUUAAGUGCAGGACUCUAAGAUUUACUUCCUUCCUGUUCCAGCAGGGUUACCUGAAGGAGUGAGUAAUGGGGUAAUUUAUAACACCACAGGCUCUUUGUCAAGACCACUAGUCAAAACAGGAAGAUCAAACUCAGGUUUCAAUGGGCAGACUACAACUUUUGAUACUCUCUGGACAUCCUUCUUAAUUAUAAGUGGAAGAUCUUCAAGAAUUUUCCUAAGGAGAUGUCCAAAGGUGCAGCAUUUCUGGUUCCUUCGAGAGGGUGAGGAGAGCCUGCAGGCAUGCUGUGCACCUCUGCAAUUGCUAGUCCCAGGGUCACAGCAAGUGGAAGUGCAGAGCACCACAAACUGCUUUGAGCAGAGCCCACUUCCUUCAUCCCGGAGAGCAUGGAGCCGUUACACCAACAUCAAUCAAGGGGGACCCAGGCGCUGCACUCACACAGUUGAAGCAGGGGAGCAAAUCGAAGACUCACCCAGGAGCAGAGUGCUUUUGAGACAGAGGAAGAAGACAAAACAGCUCCCAGCUCAGCUUCUCUUGCCAUAUUCAGGAAUCACCACACGUGCUGUUAUAUUGGGCCUCAUUUUGUUUCCCUUUCCCCAACACCUGUGUGCUGUGCUUGUGGUGGUAUGGUCCUGGUUACUUCUUAGGCCCUCUUACACAUUUCUUUUUAAAGAAAUAUUGUUUCAAAGCUUUAUUAGGAUGUAUUUUAGAUGAAAAUAUCUUAUUAUCUACAUGCAACUGGUUCUUCCAAUUUGGUUUGUUUAGCUGAAAUCUUUAUGGAAGAAUCUGUCCUACAUCUGGGCAAAACAAAAGCAAUAGCCUGUGGAAAACACAUUCUGAUCAUAUCGCAUCCUAGGAAAGAUGGGGAAAACAGUAAAAUUCAGUCAAUAUUUUAUAAAUUCAAGGUCAAUCCUCAGUGUCACUGUCAACAGUGGAUGAGUCAAAACAAAGGAUUUCUGUUACUAUUAAAUUAGAAAUGAUCCACUUUUAUUUUAAGUGUAGUGGAUUUGGCCAUUCAAUGGACAGGAAAAAAACAAGAUAAAAAGUCAAGAGAGCAGAAUUAUUUUGUAAGAUAAUUGCAAAGCACUUAUGGGUUUUAAGAGACCAUCUUAUCUCUGUGACUAUUCACCCGUGUCUAGCAUUAGUGAAUUUAUGGCUGAUAUUCUUGACCUAGAGCCCCAAGGAGUUAUGUUGGAUCCCUUUUCCCCACCUCAUCAGGUGCAUUUGAGGACAAUGAGUGUGCAUUAUGUAUCCGUUAUCCAUAUCUGGAUAGAAGAUGGGUGCUGUUAUGAUCUGAGAG